GCAGAGGAGGAGACUGAGGGUCCGAGAGGUGAAGGGGCCGGCUCCCAGGCACACUGUAAGAGCCAGAGGGCAGCCCUGGGCAAGGAGCAGAAGAGCCAGAAAGAGGGAAGGAGGUAAAGUGGGAGGAAGAGCUGGUCCUCCGCCAGCUGACUUGUCUAACUCCCCGCACUUUCUGCCUGAGAAGGGAGCUGGGCUUUCCCCACCCUGUCCCUUGGGCUGCCUGGUGUGGGCUGGAGGCCUUGGCCCUCUUACUGGGAAAGGACGGAGGGUGGGCAGGCCCUUGGGACAGGACGAGGUGCAGGACUUUGUGGGGGGCAGGGCGGGGUGAGGAAGCCCCCUGUUCUGAGCAUCUUCUCCGUUCUAAUCCCAUAGCCGGAGUCCCCUGAGUUAAACGUGACUCUUCUGUGACAGACCCCAACCCUCCCACGUUCCUGUUUCCUCUGUGGCCCCUCUGUCUGCAUCUCUCUUUUUUCCUCCAGGGGACAAAUGGUCUUUUUUUUUUUUUGGCGGGGGGAGGGGGUUGAACCCAGGGCCUUUGCACUGAGCUACAUCCCCAGCCCUUUAAUACUUACUUUAAAAAAAAUUUUGACACAAGGGCACAGUAAGUCACUAAGAUGCCAAGACGCGGCUGGAACUUGCAGUCUUCCUGCCUCAGUCUCCCAGAAUGCACCACCAUGCCCAGCUGAGAAUAAAUGCUCAUUGGGAAGUCAUAUCUCCUCAGCAUCUCUCAAAUUCACCCACUCUCCCGCCUGCCCCACCCCUCCUGCCCCAGGCACAAUCUAGGUCACAUCUGCAUCACUGCAAUAAAAAUCUUUCUAAAAUCUGACCCAGUAUGGCUGCCCUUCAGCCCUGAGCUCCCCUUGGCUCUCAAGAACAUCUAGAUCCCCAACACGCCCCACAGGGCUCUCUCUGCUUGGACUGCAAUCUCUCUGGCUUCUUCCGUGGCACACCGCAUCACUGACCCCAAAAGACAAGGUCACCUUUCUUUCCCCCAGGUUCAUCGAUGAAGUCUCUGGGUGCUUGCUUGAGCUGUUCCCUGAAAUGCCUGUCCCGCCUGUGGUGUCCACUCAUUCCCCAAGGCUCAGCACAAUGACUGCACACUCCUGAGAGCGCCUUUCCAUGUGAUUCUCUGCUUCCAGGCUGCUCUUUUCCUUCUUUAAACCUCAGUUUCCUUGCAUGGUGGGGGGAGAGUUUGAUCUCUGAGCUACAUAAUGUCAUGAAUUUGCCAGAAUGGGUGGAGUUUCUUUCUGAUGGAGAAAGAGGUCCUUUGAGUGUGUGGAUGUGUUGGAUGAGAACCUGGCCACCCACCUGUGUUUCCGCAGGCCUGGCAACUCACCCUGGCUUUGAUCGCAUGGUGUUGGAGCGCUCCUGGGCUCAUGCCACAGGGACCUGAGAUGCUGGGGCUCUCGAGCCAGGCUGUUCAGAUUCCAGAGCCUGAAUCCCUUUGAGGCAGGUCCUGCAGAGAUCCACACUCAGAGAUAUUGGCCCGCUUCGCUUCCUUAGUCACAUAGCUACAAUGAGGAAUGGCCAGGGCAGCUGAGCGGGCACAGAUCCUACCCUGGCCUGGGAAGUCAAAUUGGAUCCUCAAAGUGUAAAGAGAUUCUUCUUAGAGGUGGAAGAGGCAAGUCCAAACUUGUUUCCCAUAAGGGAGAGAAGCUGUCCACCCACCCAUCCAUCCGUCCAGUUAUCUACCUAAUCCUCCCAUCCAUUUACUCCCCCCGCCCCCCUUCACAAUUCCCAUCUAUCCAGUAUCUUCUGAUUGUAUUCUGGGCUAGGCUUUGUGCUGAGAGCUGAAGACUCUACAGAUGAGUCAAAUAACUCCCCUGCUCUCCAACAGCCCAUAGUGGGAUAGAAAAAGAUGAUGCAAAUAGACUAUAAAAACUAAACAUGUAAAUGCCAUGUUGAGACACAUCAGGAGCUGUGGACCACAGAAGAGGUCCUCACUCAGUCAUUGUAGGGAACAGGGGAAGGGGACAUUACCAGAACCUCUGCAGUGAGUCCUGGUCUCCUGCGAGCCACGGCAGCACACGGCGAAUUACAGGAAAGGUAAAAAAAUGAGACUGAGAAGAAGCUGAGCUUUGGGUCUGAUCAGUGCCGCUCUGGGCAGCAAAGACGAAAGUGGCCCCCCGCCCCAGUACAUCGGGAGAAACAAAGUGUAACAAAUGACUUGCAGAGAGUUCAGUACAUCCUGCGUAAAUAAGAUGUAACAAUCCAAGCACAAGGAGGAACUGAGUAGAUGUUUGUUCCUCCCAGGAUGUUUUCAGCUCCCAGGAUGUUUCUUGGGCUGGAGAAUCUCAGCAUCACCGGAUCACUGAGGUCUCAGUUGUGACCGGAGGGCAAAAUGGAGUUAUGUCUCAGAAUUCCAUAGCUGGGUUAUAGGCAGGAGAACUAGGCUAACCAAAUGAUUUUCCCGUGAAAUUAUGUAGCAUUGCUCCCGACAAGUCAUGGGGUCAGAGAGGCUUCCUGGAGCAAGUGACGCUUGGGUUGAUCUUAAAGAACAAGAGGCAAUAGCAAGGCAGAAAGAGUCAGAGUUAAGGGCCAGAAUGUGCAAAGGCCCGGAGAUGUGGCAAAUCAUGUCACAUUGUUUGGCAAACUGUGUGUGCUGGAAAAGGCAGAGGUGGUAGAGUAGAGUGGGAGAGAAGUCAAAGAUAGGGUCCAACGAAGAUGUCUUGACCUGUUGCAGGUUCUUCUGGAAGUGGACAGGGAGGGAGUACUGAUGGAGGCCUUCCAGAGACAGUGUUAGGCAGCUGACACCAGAUCGGAGUGAGUGCAUACUGAGAGCAGGCUUCUUGGGUGCAAGGCCAAAGAGGCUUUGAUUCAGGCCUGCUUGCUGACCAGGUGAGCAUUAGCAGGCUGAGGCCCCAACUGUGGAGCCUGGCGGAUGGGUCAGGCUUCUGAGCCUCAGUCUCCCAUGGCCCAGCUGAGGAGCUGUCAUUUGCUGGUUGAGGCUGCCGAUGCUCCUUCCCUUUCCCUUACAGGAUGACUCCAAAUGGCCAUUCUAGCUUUCUCCAGUUCAGUCCAGGCAGGGUGAUUGUCUAAAACACAGUCCCCAAUGCAUCACUCACUGCUUGUGUAUAAAAGCCUACAGUUCUUAAUAAAGCAUUAAAAAAUACCACACUUUUAAAACAUUCUCUGCCUCCCAUCCAUCCAUCCAUCCUUCCACCCUUCUAUCCUUUCUUGCUUCUUACCCUCACUCUCUCCUACUUCUUUUUUUCUCCUCCUGUUCAGUCUCUCCAAAUGCCAACCUCCUUUCUUGUGUCUGAGGGGCAGGCUCUUCCUUUGUCCAGUGAGGGGUGGUGGUGGUGGUGGGGCUGUUGCUCUUCUUUGCUCUUUAUGGGAUAAAGAAUUCAUAGUUUGUUUCCGUGUCUGUCUGUUGCCCAGUGUCCUACCCCCACUCCACCAGGGUGGCUUCUUUGUACAUUGUUUAGGUUGUGCACUGCACAAUACCCAGCUGAAGGACGUGCCCUGAGCAGACUAUAUCUGCUCAGAAGGAAGAAUGCUUUUUCCCCCUAAUCUACAAAGGCAUCUGCUGCCCAAGUGAUGGGCUCAAUUGGCCGAGUCUAUUUCAAGCAGGCAUCUUUUCUGUUUCUCCACCUAAGGUUCUUUGAGCCUAGUGAUGGCCAUACCCUGAUCCAAGUUCCUGAAGCUCAGGACCACUUUGGUUCCAACCCUCCAGCAAUUAACACAACAGUGGCAGGCCCCAGAGACCUGCAGGAAUGUUCGGAAAGGGGAAGACUGAGUAGCAAGUCUUGGUUCCCUGGGCCUUGAGGGUAUGCUACGACUCAUGCUUGCCUUGUAGGGGGACCAGGCUUCUGACAGUGUGACUGCAGGUUUGUUUGGAAAUUCCCCAGUAAGUGGUGAUUUUUUUGUCUCCUGGGGACCUCAAGAGCUCACUGGAGGACCCACAGACCAGGGCUCCUCCAAAUAUUGUUUUAAACUGAUUGAUGCCAUGCCAGGCAGAGAAGGGACAGGCAUUUUUCAUACAUGAAAAACAAUACAUUCUAGGGCCAAGACAAAAUUAUUUCACGUUUGUAUGAUAACAGGCAGGGAGACAAAGAUGAUGUUUAAGGACAUUUAAACCUCAAAAUCAUUAGUCACUGUCCCAGCGGGCUACACAAAUAAAUGAUCAAUGCACAGAAAAACAAGGCCC
rnacentral:lncRNA from 1 species